GCCGCGGUGGCGCCGUUUCACCACAAGUGGGAAAAGUCCGUAAUAGCCGUAGAAAAUCCUAGACAUCAUAGAAUAUCAUAGAGAUUAUAGAGAAUUAAAGAAAAUGAGGAACGCUUCACGAAUUUGCGUGUCAUCCUUGCGCUACCCGGAGCCCCUUCUUCUCUGUUUCAAUUGUUUCAUUUCCCAGGAGCCAAUGAGAGGCCUCAGAGCUUGUUUCAAUUUUCGGCCGACCAAUCAAAGGAUCCACGGUUUGCGCGUCCAAUCAGAUGCUCUAUUUGUUUCAAUUCUGACUUCUCGAUCCGCCAUGUUGGAUCACCGCUGGACUGCCGUCUCAUUCUAACAAUACUCGGCAGACAUGGAGCAUCCUACAUUCCGGAGGGCCCCUAACGGGACCAUCCUGCUCAAGGCCUCCCCAGCGGCCCAGGCCCUUUUCACGCAGCAGCCCCCCAGUGCCCAGGCGCCUUACAGGGCAAAGAAGCCGGAGGAGGUGGACUCGGAGGCCUGGGCUCACGUCGUCUCCGAGGGCGGUGACACCGCCAACGCCGCCCUGGUCCUGAGCCGGUGGAAGGUGCAGUUUGGCCGCUACCAGGGCAGAACCUUCCACUGGCUCCUGGAGAACGACGUGGGCUACAGCGUCAAUCUGGUCGCCUCCCACCAGAAGGAGCGCGAGAGGACGCAGUCUGAGUCCCCGCUGAUGGCCAACAAGGACGCCUUCACCCGCUACUCCUCCGCCUAUCCUGACUUCGUGGAGGCUGUCAGGUUCCACCGGGCAUUUGAGGAGGCGCGGGCGAAUUCCCUCCAGCCCGGUCAGGAGGGACGGGCCCUUGUUGGCUUCGGGGACUUCAAAUUUGAGACCCUGGAGAGCCUCUACGAGUCGACGGACAACAAAAAGAUCCGUUUUGUCAAGUACCUGCGGAGGACGUCACCAGCUCCAGGGACGCAGAUGGAGAACGCCGUCCAGUAUGUGCGCAGCAGAGACAGGCAGAGGAUGAAAGCUGCUGCUGGAGCAUCUACCUCCUCCACCGCCUCCACCUCCAGCAGCAGCGCAGCCUCUGCAUCGGCCGCAAGCCAGAGAGCCACGAGUGCAUCACAGCCUCUUGGUCCAGCGCUUGUGGAGUUUGUCUCUGGUCGGCGUUCUCUAUCUGCUGUGGAGAUGCAGGCCCAGGUGAAGAAGCUGGUGGCCCCUAAGCCUGCAUCUACAGCCUCCCACUUCAGCCCCUUCAGACCAGCUCUGUCCUCCCCCCGGUCAUCUGUGGAGCCUACAGAUGAAGAGCUGGUCAAGGCGGUAGUUGACUUGGAGACCUAGGACGAAAGCAGAUGACUGCCUCGAUUGCAAAGGCUCCCCUUUUGCGCCUGCCACCACCCGCUGCUGCUGCUGCUGCUGCCGCCGCCGCCUCCUCCUCCUCCUCCUCCUCCUCCUCCUCCUCCUCCUCCUCAGCACCUCCUCCUCCGGGAGCCGGUGUCUCUACUCUGCUGGACGAGCCCACAGACGAGGAGCUGCUGGAAGCCUCGCAGGAGAUAGACCCCCUGGUGGAAACUCCUGCAGCCCUCGUCGUGGUUCAGCCUGCCGGAACACCGGCUCCCUCGCCUCCAGCCGCCCCCUUGACGCCGUCCGCACCCGUCGCCGUGGAGGGAUCGGAGGAGUUCCUCCCUCCCCUCCAUCUUCUGCCAGUGAGUUGCUGCCUCAGUCCUGGAGGGCAGCUCUCACUGUGGAGCAGCAGCAGUGGAUCGGCCGGGUGCUGUUUACCAGGGACAGCCAGGGGAGGCCUCGGCUCGUGGGCGAGCUCAACCUAUGGUGGACCCCCCCCCAAACCCGGCCGGUCUACAACCAGCCUCCCGCAUCCCCCGACCCCUUCUUCGCAUGUCGGCUGUUUCUCUGGAUGCCACACCGGCUUUGGCGUCUGCAGCUGACAUGCCCCCAGCCUUCGUGCUCUGGGUCCCUGAUGAAGGCUGGGCUGUACAGGACCAUCCGGAGGGUCCUGGACAUCGACGGCUGGUACCUCAUGGCCACCGAGUACCUGGAGUGCCGUCGGUGUAAGAAGAAGGUCGGGGGGUGGUCACAGGGCAUCAUCAGGCAGCUGUCCCCCACCCACAGCUGCCAGUUCCCAGCUGUACUCACGUACAAGCUGUCCUGUGACAUGAGGGUGGUGAUACAGCUGAGGUCCCGCACUCUGGGGAACAGUGCCAACCAGCUGCAAAACACCCUGCGGGAGCAGCACUCGGACGCCUGGAUGCGGAGAGCCAUCAAGUACCUCGGCGUGUGCGAGCCAUUCCUGGCCUUGUGCUCGGCGAGGGGGCAGAUUCCACCUCCGCCCGAGAUGCCCCCUCUGCCAUCCCCCGUCUGGCUGCUGACCGUGUACAGCUACGACGUCCUGGCGCGGCUGGAUGAGUACAAGGCCAGGAUCACGUCCACCUUCGGGUCCAUCAAAAAGAUGGACUCCACCAAGAAGGCGAGUGGAGUCUGUCAGUUUCUUUUCCUUCCAGCUGCUGUGUGUUUCUCACAUUAACUCUCAGAAUCUCUCUGCAGGUGACAAAGAAGCUCGCGGGUAUCGCCUCCGACACGGCCGCCUGGGCUACCAACGUCGGCAAUGAGCACGGGCAGGUCCUCAUGAGCGUCCUCACCUCCACCGAGAGAGCGCCGGGGGCCUGUCCGGGAUGGCGGCCGGCUUGAUGAGGCGGUACCGACUCGCCGGGGUACCUCCCCCCCAGCUGAUCUACGUGGACCGCGACUGCUGACAGCUGUCUUGUUUCAGGAGUGGGAGCAUCUCGUGGUGAGACUGGACAUCUGGCACCUGAUGCGACGCUUCGCAUCAGGUGUCAACACCGAGAGCCACGAGCUGUACCCCACCUUCAUGAGGCAGCUGUCUAACUGCAUCUUUGAGGUGGACGCCGGAGAUGCACGCCGUCUCGCAGAGGCUAAGCGGUCCCAGCUGGAGGGGAAGCACGGGAUGGUUGGACUGACGGACGCCGCGGUGAACCAGAGGAUCUCCAAGGAGGAGUGGAGGCUCCACGUCCGCCGCAGGACACGGGGGCCUGAGGAAUCGGCCCUCCUCAUCCAGGAGCUCCUCGACACCUUCGGUGGACCGGCAGGACGCAACAACCUGGGCAUCCCGUUGCUCAACGCUCUCCGCAUCCAGGAAAUAUGGAGUACGCAGAGGACCCACCUCAGCUGCAUCCAGGACCCGCCAGGUGUGCAGCUGUACACCCAGACGGGCCGGCUGACCAAGGGAGGAGUCAGCCUGCCCGUAUAUCGCUGCGCGAGGGGCUCCACCUCUCUGGAGUCCUUCCACCUCCACCUUAACCGGUUCAUCCCAGGGACCCGGGCCAGCGCCAAGCACUUCCAGGCGUUCCUGGUGGAUGGACUGGUGAGGUGGAACGAGGACCGCGCAGCGGCAGCUGCACCACCACCGGCUGCAGACGAGGGACGGCUGGGACCUCUGCACUCCUACAGUGGCCACCUCAAGCACGUCCUUAACCAGAAGAGCCAAAGAGUGCUUGGUCUUCAGAUGGUUAAGGACUUCACCGAGCCGGCUGAGUACACAGGGGAGCUCAUCGGAGUGGAGUACCUGUACCAGCAGACCGGCAAAGUGCUUGAGGACGUCAGCCUGGACCCUGACACUCCGGACGAGGCUCCUGCCAUCGAGGCGCUGGAGGAGGAUGAGGGCAUCGAGGAAGACGUAGAGGACCCUACCGUCUUCGGGCCUGAUACUCCGUCCUCCAGCGUGGCAGCAGCCCGGUCAGGUGAUCCAGCUGACGCACCGUUUGAGCCAUCCCGUUCGGGUCAAGUUGCCCCUCCUGAGGCCCCAGAGGUUCAGGACCCUGAUCCCCAGCAGCCCUCCUCAGACUCUGAAGAGGACAUCCAGGGUCCUGAUGGCCAGCCCGGGUACCGGCACAUCCUGAAGCUGGCCCAGGCGCUGGUGGAAGGGAGGAACCUUCUGGGGCUGUCUGAGAAUAGGGUAGACCGACUCAUCCUGCUUUGGACUCGCUUGGCGGAGCAGGACAAGCGGCGAGUCGACUACCCUCCCAGAUACCGGGAGAGGCAACCAAAGGGGCGGUUCAAGGCAGCGAAGGGGAAGAACACCUCCUGUGCUGGAAAGGAGAGUCUCCAACGCUGCCUCCUCGGGGUCAACUCGGGGCCUUCCACCUGGCCCAGCGCCAGUCGCCUGGUGGAGGCCAUUUGCACGCUGCUCUGCAAGCUCCACCCGGCGGCCACGCGGGUCGGCGGGAUGCACAAGCCCCGGCUCAGCCUCAUCCUCGCUGACUAUGUGUCCAUCAGAGAGGUAGUGCUGAGCACCCCGAGGCUGAUGGCUCAGACGGACAUCCAGCUCUUUGAGCUGAACCACCGGACCCUCAGCCAGUGGUUCUCUCGCAAGCAGAGGGGGUUGGUCACGGCUGUGCUGCAGCAGGGAGCUUCCGUCAUCCCUGCAGGUGUCGCAGCCGAGCCCCUCCCUCCCGUCAAAGGGCUGUCCUUUGUUCAGGUGGGACAAGGACAGCCCUACCAGUAUGACGUGCCGGAUGAGAAGCCAGGACCCUCAUCCGGCGGCCUUCCUCCUCCUCCUCCUCCACCACCAGAUGGGGAGCAGCCUGGACCUUCGUCCAGCGGCCUUCCUCCACUGCCCCUGGGUGUCUUCCCUGGUCCUGCCGGUCUGCCUCCUCAAAGUCCCGGACAAAGCAGGACCACUGUCUGGAGGAAGAGGAAGGCGGCCGAGGCAGCGGCUGCUGCUGCUGCUGCAGGUCAGGUGUUGCCACCCAAGAAUCCCCGACAGCAGUACACCUGCUCCAAGUGUGGUCAGCCCAAAACAUUAGAAACUGGCCACACUCGGCUUUACGGUGUAACGUACUGUGCUGCUGUCGGGGGCAAGACUGUGGAGCAGUGGAGGGAGGAGGUCCAAAGCACUCAGAGCGGGGGGAAAUGAGGGUUUUUAUUUGUUGUUUUAUUUAUUUAUAAGCAGUUUAAGGUUUAAGCAGGUUACUAUUAGUGUGUUGUUAUUGUCAUGCGUUAUUAUUGUCAUGUGUUAUUAUUGUCAUGUGUUAUUUAAGCCAUUAAAGUGUAUUUUCUGCACUUGGUUUUGGAAGCUUUUUCAUUUCAUACACACCUGUAUGUUUUCAUUCCAUACACACCCGUUUAUUUAGGGAAAUCUCCAUAACUGCCAUCAUUCAACACACUUUGCUUGCAACUUGCCGGAGGUGGGACUCGAACCACAGAUCUUCUGCAUCGCAGCCCACAUCUGGAGCACAGCUAGCCCCUCCUCCCCACACAUACUAUUUUUGGGACCUGAUCGCAGAGAAGAAUGAACCAUAUCCUGCUUUUCACCCGGAGCCCCUUCUUCUCUGU
ensembl:lncRNA